AGGUUUUGGCAUGGGCGAAAGCCUGAUCAGCCUGCCGCGUGUGUGAAGAAGGUCUUCGGAUUGUAAAGCACUUUAAGUUGGGAGGAAGGGCAGUUACCUAAUACGUGAUUGUCUUGACGUUACCGACAGAAUAAGCACCGGCUAACUCUGUGCCAGCAGCCGCGGUAAUACAGAGGGUGCAAGCGUUAAUCGGAAUUACUGGGCGUAAAGCGCGCGUAGGUGGUUUGUUAAGUUGAAUGUGAAAUCCCCGGGCUCAACCUGGGAACUGCAUCCAAAACUGGCAAGCUAGAGUAUGGUAGAGGGUAGUGGAAUUUCCUGUGUAGCGGUGAAAUGCGUAGAUAUAGGAAGGAACACCAGUGGCGAAGGCGACUACCUGGACUGAUACUGACACUGAGGUGCGAAAGCGUGG
rnacentral:rRNA from 1 species